rnacentral:rRNA from 1 species
AGGGUGCGAGCGUUAAUCGGAUUUACUGGGCGUAAAGCGUGCGUAGGCGGCUUAUUAAGUCGGAUGUGAAAUCCCCGAGCUUAACUUGGGAAUUGCAUUCGAUACUGGUGAGCUAGAGUAUGGGAGAGGAUGGUAGAAUUCCAGGUGUAGCGGUGAAAUGCGUAGAGAUCUGGAGGAAUACCGAUGGCGAAGGCAGCCAUCUGGCCUAAUACUGACGCUGAGGUACGAAAGCAUGGGGAGCAAACAGGAUUAGAUACCCUGGUAGUCCAUGCCGUAAACGAUGUCUACUAGCCGUUGGGGCCUUUGAGGCUUUAGUGGCGCAGCUAACGCGAUAAGUAGACCGCCUGGGGAGUACGGUCGCAAGACUAAAACUCAAAUGAAUUGACGGGGGCCCGCACAAGCGGUGGAGCAUGUGGUUUAAUUCGAUGCAACGCGAAGAACCUUACCUGGCCUUGACAUACUAGAAACUUUCCAGAGAUGGAUUGGUGCCUUCGGGAAUCUAGAUACAGGUGCUGCAUGGCUGUCGUCAGCUCGUGUCGUGAGAUGUUGGGUUAAGUCCCGCAACGAGCGCAACCCUUUUCCUUACUUGCCAGCAUUUCGGAUGGGA